rnacentral:rRNA from 1 species
AUUGAACGCUAGCGGCAUGCUUAACACAUGCAAGUCGAACGGCAGCGCGGGCUUCGCUCUGGCGUCCAGUGGCGGACGGGUGAGUAAUGCAUAGGAACGUGCCAAGUUGUGGGGGAUAGCGUGGCGAAAGAGGGAUUAAUACCGCAUACGACCUGAGGGCGUACGGGGGGGACCGUAGGACCUCCCGCUAUUGCACUAGCCUAUGUCGGAUUAGCUAGUUGGCGGGGUAAAGGCUUACCAAGGCGACGAUCCGUAGCUGGUCUGAGAGGAUGAGCAGCCACACUGGAACUGAGACACGGCCCAGACUCCUACGGGAGGCAGCAGUGGGGAAUUUUGGACAAUGGGCGCAACCCUGAUCCAGCCAUGCCGCGUGCGUGAAGAAGGCCUUCGGGUUGUAAAGCGCUUUUGUUCGGGAAGAAAUCCAGCAGGCUAAUACCCCGCUGUUAUGACGUUACCAAAAGAAUAAGCACCGGCUAACUUCGUG